UAGAUCACAUUCUGGCGCGAAUCGGGACUGGCGUAGUAUGGAGUAAGUUGGAUAUAAGGGAUUCUUUUCUACAAAUCAUGGUUGCUGCGGAGUCUCGAGAUAUUCUCACGUUUAUAACAGAAAAGGGGUUGUUUAGAUUCAAGAGGCUUCCGUUUGGCCUCAUAACUGCGCCUGAAAUUUUCCAAAGAGUCAUUGACGAAAUUCUUUGCGGUUGUGAGGGCACCCAUUGGUACCUUGAUGAUAUUUUUGUGGAAGGCGAAACUCUAGAAGAGCAUGAUGCUCGAUUGGAGAAGGUUAUGGCUAAACUCAAGGAGCGAGGGGUACAACUGAAUAUGGAUAAAUGCCGCUACAGGGUUACUGAACUGGAAUUUCUCGGAUAUAAGAUUUCGGAAUCUGGAAUAGCUCCAUCUGAGGCUAAAGUUGAAGCAAUCAUAGCGUUCCGUCGUCCUGCAAACGAAGGUGAGAUCCGUAGCUUUCUGGGUCUGGCCAACUACCUCAACAGGUACAUACCUCAUUUAGCCACCCUGGAUGAACCGCUGAGGGAAUUGACCAGGAAGGGUGUCAAAUUCUCUUGGGAUUCACGUCAUGAAACGUCAUUUCAAGCCAUUAAACGUGCCAUGUCAGAUGUUCGUAUCCUUGGGUUCUAUGACGCACGCGACAGAACGGCUGUGAUUGCCGAUGCCAGUCCCACGGGGCUGGGGGCAAUGCUUGUACAGACGAAUAGGCAAGGGCACGAUAGAGUAGUUAGCUUCGCAUCGAAAUCACUCACGGCAACUGAAAGAAGAUACUGUCAGACGGAGAAGGAGGCUUUGGGACUGGUAUGGGCCGUCGAAAAAUUCCAAUUUUACCUCUUGGGUCGAAAAUUUGAUUUGGUUACGGAUUGCAAGGCAUUGGUGUAUUUGUUUACACCACGAUCGAAACCGUGCUCAAGGAUUGAACGGUGGGUGUUGAGAUUGCAAUGCUUCAAUUACUCAAUCGUUCAUAUCCGAGGAGACCAAAAUGCUGCAGACGCUCUUUCUCGUCUUUCAUGUACAACGGUCGAGCCAUUUGAUUCGGCAGAGGAACUUGUUAUUCAACACAUAGCUUCGGUUAGCGCUGAAUCUAUCGCGGUUUCUUGGCAAGAAAUACUUCGUGAAUCUCGAGAUGACGCAGAAAUCAUGAACAUCCUCAAGUGCAUAAUGGAAGACACUAUUGAGCUUCUACCAGCUGCUUAUCGUAUUAUUUCUACAGAGCUGUGCGACGUUGGAGGAGUUCUGCUGCGAGGAGAUCGCAUAGUCGUUUCAGCAGGAUUACGACAACGAGUUCUGACCAUCGCUCACGACGGACACCCCGGGGUGCGUAUGAUGAAAUCAUAUCUUCGAUCUGUCGUUUGGUGGCCUAAAUUGGAUGCAGACACAGAAAACUUCGUGAAAAAUUGUCGUGGGUGUACAUUAGUAGCUGCUCCUGAUGCCCCUGAGCCGAUGCUCCGCCGUUCGCUCCCUUCCGGACCAUGGGAAGAUAUCGCCAUUGAUUACCUAGGGCCACUUCCUGGCGGGCAGAAUUUGUUGGUGAUUGUCGACUGCUAUAGCAGAUACCUCGAAGUGUGCGAAAUGACUUGCAUUAAUUCUACGGAGACUAUCAGCCGCUUGCGAGAAGUCUUCGGCAGAUUCGGUAUACCAUCCUUGAUAAAAGCAGACAACGGUCCACAAUUUGCCAGCACAGAAUUCAAAAACUUUUGUCGUGACUACGGAAUACAUCUGGUCAAUACGAUUCCAUAUUGGCCGCAGAUGAACGGCCAGGUGGAGCGGCAAAAUCGCUCAAUCCUGAAGAGACUUAGUAUCGCACAAGAACUUGGCAAAGAUUGGCGAAAAGAGCUGCACGAAUUUCUUUUGGUAUACCAUGCUACAAAUCAUGCGACUACCGGAGAAGCACCAUCGAAACUGAUGUUCGGGCGCAGAAUCAGGGGUAGACUUCCUUAUGUUCCGGUCCAUUACGAGGAUGAGGCUGUGCGAGAUGUCGACGGAAUACAAAAAGAGAAGGGAAAGAACUACUCUGACGGGAAGCGUCGAGCCACUUACAGCGAAAUACGGGAAGGUGACAAAGUGUUUGUGAAGCGGAUGAAAAAGAAUCAUAAGUUGGAGGCGGACUACUCUGCAGAGGAAUACGAUGUUGUGAACAAAAAGGGGUCUGAUGUCAUUGUACGUUCCCGGGUCUCCGGGAAAGAGUUCCGUCGCAACGUGACGCAUCUUAAGAAGGUUCCACAAAUAGACGACAAUGUUCAGCCCACAGCGACGACAGAGACGGAUCAAAGCACAUCAAGCGAAGUGGUUGAUGGAAGGAUGGAUGAAACCGUUCAAUUGACUGAAACGCCGUCUGGUCGGAAACGUGAGAGACAACAACCAACGAAAUUCAAAGGCUAUGUUCCUUUCUAAAAUUUUUGUAAGUAAAGGUGGGGUUGUAGGGUCUGGGAGCACUGGCAAGACAGAAUGUUGAAAGGAGCAACACGCUCAUGGGAGGUGAGAGAUAGGGUAAAAAAUAUAAUUUGGACAUGUAUAUAAUUUGGACAUGCACUGCGAUGUAUGCCUUUUUCCGGAGAGCUAAUAAAAGUAGAUACUUCUGAAUAUCGACUAUUGGAUCAAACAGACUCUAUUCUGAUGACUUACGUUGAAAAUACGCUUAACAAUUAAGAAUUUAUUUCAAAAUUAUCGAAAAUGUAAAAUGUUUCACUAAAACCCCUCAAAUGCACAGGUAUGCAAGACGACAUACACUUCACAGUCACAUACAAUAUUAACCUCAAAAUCGUUGAUAAAAUAAUUGUAAGAAAUUUAAAAGCCAUAUCGCAAUGAGAACUGUUCAAUAAAGAAGCAUUGGGCAGCCAAUCUCUUAACAUUCAUCUAGAACGCCUAAAAUAGGUGGUGUCCAAAAUACAUUACAAGUUUUCUACUGUAAAUAUAUUUUGGUCAUCUGACGAACUGCAUGGGGAUGCUGUGCGAUUGCAUACUUGGAGGCGUAUUCUGUGGUUCUGGCGAUAUUUCCUCGAUUUUAACAAAAACUGUAAUAGUUAUCAAAAUAGAUACCUGUUAAGCGGAGAAAUUUGAUUAUUUACACGAAAUUAUUAGUUAAUUUAUGCUACUUUCAUGAUAUAGCUGUAUUCAUGGCUAAACAUGGAGAUAAUUGCCCUGUCCAAAUUAUAUAUACCUGAGGGUGUCCAAAACAUAUAUUCGGUGUCCAAAAUGCAAUUCUAACAGGCGAUUGGAAAUCGUGAUUUUAUCAGAUAAAAAUGCGUUCGUUAAGCUUUUUAUCACCAGGAACGCAAAGUACAGUCAUAUUAUAAGCGUAAUAGUAACUUUGCAAAAUAAUCAAUUCCUUUCUAAGGAAGCUAGGGGACGAUUUUUCUAACGUUGUCCUCAGCCUGUCCAAAAUACAUGAAUUACCCUAAACGUCUUGGGGUGACAAGGGAAGAAGAGAAAGAGAGAGAUAGUUUGGGAGUGUGAAACGAGAAAGGUGUGAAUAAACCGGGUCGAAUACAAAUCGUUUUUCUAGUUGCAAGACUUGAUAUCAAAUCCGAAGACCAGCGGCACUACAGUCCUGUGAUUUCGCCAACAAAAAAAUGAGAUCAUGUCAUGAUUUCUGUUACCAUUAGGAAUAAAGAGUAAUCGCCUAAGGGAAGAUUCAUUUAUUGUACGUGGAUUUGCUAACUGAACACGACGAAUCAGAACCGUCGUUUUUGGAAUCGCCGUUCGAAUCGCCGUUGGAAUCGUCGUUCGAUUGCAGAGCGAGAAAGCAACAAAACUGACACAUCGCUUUGACAUAGGGUAUUGUACCAUUUGGGCAGGUGUACCUAUUUUGGGCACUUGUCGCUAUAACUAAGUCAAUUUCAAACCGAUUGAUUUGAAUUUAGAUGCUUAGAUACUGUACGUGCCUAAUUCAUGACAAAAUUUCAAAUCAAUCGGUUUAAAAUUGACUUAGUUAUAGCAGCAAGUGCCCAAAAUAGGAACACCUGCCCAAAUGGUACAAGACUCUAUUUAACGUAGGAGCAACAUGUGCGUGAGAUUCUCUCUCUCGGUUGGUGUGGUUUGUUUUGAUUCAAUCUGACAUUGCUUUUAUGCUGCUCAUGCUGCCGAUGCUGCCAGCUGAUGGUGGUAAGGAUGGAGGAGCAUAGUCGGAGGGGUGCUCCAAUGUGUUUUCAGAAGAAUUCGUCGAGAUAAAAAGUUUCGUUAUAAAAAAAUUAAACUUUUCAAUGCGUGUUACGUAAAUUAUUUUACAGAGAAUCAGUCUAGAGGUCGUUUAACGUAAUAAUAGCAUUAACAUAAAAGUCUAUAAUUUUACAAGAACGCAUUAAAACGUUCCUUGAAAUUUAAUGGUGAUUCCCAACCAGCUCAAGCAAAUUCCCUUGCAAUUUAUCUUCGAAGUAAAAUCACAAUAUUACGUCCAUCAUUUUUCGGGAUUUCUGGUCCCCUCUCUCCCUCUGUCACGUUAAUCUCCUAUACCUAAUACACGUACUGUCACACUUUCCUAGACCUCCCCCUCUUCCCCAAAUAUUGGACGUGAUUUAAAAACGUUCCCUAAGCUUCUUUAUUACUUGUCCGAUAAUUCUGUUCUCUGGUAUCGAUUAUGUCAGCCCGAAAAGCUACCAAGAGCUGACAAAACCUGGUCAUCAUAGUAUGGGAUAAAAAUGAAUAAGACCAAUAUUUUAAUAUAUCAAACUCAGGAGCAUCAAUUUUCGUGUAACUUAGUUUUAGAAUUAAGAGAACUUAGUAUUUUCAUUUAAAAUGUCCUAAGUUGGCGCGUUCAAAUAUUGCGAAUCAAGGCUAAAGCUUAAUUUAAAACAAUUACAAUAUGAAAUAUGAAAAAUACGUUGUAGCCUCUCGUGCCAACGCAAAAAAACUAGGAGUAGGUAAUGUCUGAGACAUAACCGCAAUGUUGACGUAGGACAAAUGCUGGAACGAGAUUUCGACUUUUAAGUUUGUUGUUAUGAUAAUACAAAUGGUGGACUGAUGUGUUGAGUAAAGUUGUUGUUUGAUCGCUUUCGCUGAACGCAUUCAUAACCCAACAAACAUUUUUGCUGUAUAAGAGUAUAACAAAUCACUCUUAAGCUAACUUUAGUUCAAGAAGCUGUUAUUCAGCUGGUUCGGUUACUUGUAAAGAUGUUAACUAGUUCAAGAGUUAUUUCGUUUUGAAGAGAAAUGGUCAAAUUACUGUUCUACGAGAGAAUUUUCAUCGUGCGGAUAAAAUUAUUAGAUAAUUGAACGGCAUUAGAUAGAUCUUUUCAAUUAAAGUUUAACGUGAAACUCAUUCGACAAUACGAUAGCCGAGAGUCAUCGCUGAGUUUGUGUGCUGCUGCCUACACCCUUAAAUGAAACAACACAGCGCACGAGUAACUUUCACGCAGCGAGCAAAAAGACAAAGGAAUUUUCAAAGACAAAGACAAAGGAAUCAGGGGGAACAGCUUUUAUGUCCCUAGAUUAGCAGAUGAAGCUCCUCCCAUUCGGCUGGCUUUCCAGUUUAUUUCGUUUGCAUGUCCCGCCCCGCAUGCACCAGACACUCGAAACGGUUAAUCAACCGAGAAAUGAGAAAAUUUUCAUUUAACGAAUAAAGUAACCAAAAUAUUGGAGGAUUUAGAUUAUUUUAAUUCGAAAAAUGGUUAAAUUAAACAAUGUUUCUAGAAAAAUGGUCUGGAUAGGAUAAAGCGUUGCUAAAUUCCUGGUUGAAUCAUUAGUGACCGGCAUCAUUAUUGUUGCGGGGCCACAAAACAUACAAUCCUUCACUUUUAGGUUGCACCACACUUUUACCGAGCGAUGGAAUGAAAUAAUUAGGGUAAAUGUACCAAUAGUGGUGCAAUUAGUAGCUCCUUAUAGAAAAAUAAUUGAAUAAAAUUGAUUGUACCACAAAAUAAAAAGUCUUAAAACGUUAAUCGGUAGUUUUUCACUUAAAUUUGCUAGGAAAAAUGUAAAAACCAUUGUUUAUUUCAGUUUUUGCUAAUAAAUCACUUGCACCAACUAUACUGCCGUGAAUCGCAAGUCAGUCCCAUCUGCAUUUUGGGCAAAAAUGAGUUAAUGGCUGUUUUCGAUCUUUCUUCGGAUGAUCUUUCAGCUGCGUGCAAAAAAAUAUAUAGUUUGUUCAGUAAAAUUGAAAAACAUCACCAAGUCAGAUUGUCCCAUAAUGAAAAGUAAUCGCAAGUCAGUCCCAUUACGAACUUGUGCACCCUCCAGUACAAAAUCUAACACUAUAUUAGCCAUGUUUAUAUUUUUCACUGUUACGUUUUCACGUUUGAAACAAUAUGUGAAAGUUUCAUGAUGAUCGCAGAAGUUUUCAAUUCAUGGAGAUUUUUUAGAGUUUCGCAUAGAAAUCGAAUUUGAAAACUUCAGAGGCCAUUUUCUCAAUGCCUACUUUUUACAUAUGGGACUGACUUGCGAUUCACGGCAGUAUAGGUACACGGUUCCUAUUAUGGAGGUAAAAUUUAACAUUGGUUCCUAUAGUGGCGCAUCCCAUUGAAUUGUUAUGGGACCCACCACUAUUGGGGACUACGAAGCAAAUUACCACAGUUGACCAUGUGCGUGAAGCGCCGAUUUUUUAACAUGGGGAAGCAUAGGAAGUCAAUUUUAAAAUGCUUCUAAAAAAUUCAAAACAUUAUUUAAUUAAAAACGGAUUCAUGUACGGGUUAAGAACCUUCGUAUUCUACACAAUCAGUACUUAAUCUGGGAAAAAACUUUUUAAUUAAAAUAAUAUGCUUAAAAGUUUGCUAAUUGAAUUUCUCAUCACGUACACCAACCCGCUUUUAAUUAAAUAUUGUUUUGAUUUUUUUAGAAGCAUUUGAAAACUGACUUCCUAUGCUUCCCCAUGCUAAAAAAUCGGUCCUUCACGCAUACAGUCAACUUUUUCCAGGUGGCAGCAGCGUACCUUCGAACUCUCGAAUAGGAACACUACCGCCACUGUAGGUGCAAAGGAGCAAAAAAAUUAAGGAAAAUAAUUGUUUAAAAUAGGUUUUUUGGCAAAUCCUGAACACAAAACUGAAUUAAUGUUAGUAAUUAAUUAUGAUGUAUCUAUUAAAAAUGUCAUUUGCAAGCUUUUUGCUCGAAAUAGUGUUAAAUUGGCACUACCACCACUAUUGGUACUACUUCCACUAAGGGAGCUUUUACCCUAUCUGAUUCACAACUCUUGAGGAAUAAUUUUCUAUGGUCCUGAAAAGAACCGUUUGAAUAUUGGACGAUUUCAGACAGAAAAUUUACAUGAAUUUAUCAUGCCACGCAAUGCUUGUUAGAAUGCUGAACGCCGUCGAAAAUUCGCCCGCCGCUUGCUGCCGUGGAUGAGAUUAGUGAUCGCCUUCACUGUUGCUGAGCCACCACCAAGAAUUCAAUCUUUCACUAUUUGGUUUCACUACACUUUCUCGGUCGAUGCAGGAAAUUUAUCCAAUUAACUCUCUAGGAAGCAUUUUCGAUGGUUCUGAAAAGAACCGUUUGAAUUUUAGACGGUUUUAGGUAGAAAUUGAAAUCAAUUCAUCAUGCCACCCAAUGCACAUUGAUUUUAUUCGCGCUGAAUGCUGGACGUCGUUGAGAAUUGGCCCGCCGCUUGCUGACCUGGAUAUUCUUCCUGAUGCUAUCAGCAAUGCGCCACCGUCAAUCAAUCCGUGAAAGGACCGAGCCCCGAGGAAAAGCGGCGCAACUCGCACAUUCGUUGUGGCGGAUCUUUCUUUGGUGGAUUUUGCUGCUGCCUCUGCCACCACCGCUGAGUAAUCGAUGAAAAGUAUUCCUUCCUUGGUCUGCCGCGUUAGACGGUUAGAAGGCGAAUGUGCAACAGCACCCUUGCCGACUACCACCGACACCGAGCCGACACGGCCGUCAAAGAAGAAUAAGCGAAAUCGCAAACGAACAAAGCGGGCAGCUCUCGUUCGAUGCGUUCACCUCGAGACGACAAAGGCAAAUGAGGGAAGAUGCGAAGAAGCAGUAGCUUUUAUAUUCGACGGGAACAUCCAAAAUGUGCUCGAUCGUGAUUGGCUGGAAUAAACAUGGGUUCACUUUUCCCAAUUUUUCAAUAGCUUGUUAUUGAAAAUCAGCAAAUGUUAAUAUUGGACAUAAUUGGUGUAAAGAUUUGCAAUCGAUUGGAGCCAAAAAUUUGAAAAUUCAACGAGAAAUGGCUGAGUUAUAAACGCUCAAAAUCUCCACUUCAAACGUAACGCGGCCGAUUUCUGAAAAUUUAGAAUGACACCCGGUAUAGAAAAGAGAGACGUAGUCCUACGUCAAAAAAAUCUCGAUUUAAUUAACAAAAACCGACCUCAUUUUCGUCCACGCCCUUGAACGCACGGCGCAACCAAUUGUUUGUGCUCACCUGCAUUUUCAACCCAAAGCCAAGUGCAUCUCGUUCCUAUUCCGUCUGUCUUGUGGUGUCGCUCGCACUUGAAAAUUCGCGAAAUCUUGGUCGGGUGCGAAACCAUGGUGGCACACCAUGAGAUAAACAUAUCAUUCUCUCAUUGACGGGGGGCGCCCCGUGACGAGUGCACUUUGAACGUUGGCGCAAUGCUAUUCACGCUGCGGUGGACUUUUUGCCCCAGAGCAGCAACCGGCGACAGCAAAUGAUGCAAUUCCGAAAAUGUGCGCAUCGUCACACCGACUACACAGUGAGGAAGAGUUGGCUCAUAAUUUUCUAAAAAUAUAUUCUUCAUCUGCACGUCCCAAUGAAUGGUACACCUUAUACAGGCAACGAUCGAUCCGGAUGAUGGUGCAGGUUCGAGCGAACCACGCUUCCUCUCCGAGUGGUUUACGGCGUCUCAAGAGAGGAAGUUUGGCUGAGUAAUUCCCGGCGAGAUUUAUGCAUCGCAAACCAAAACAAUGCGUUUCUUUUUGAAACGGCGUGUGUCGUUCGUCGAGUUGAUCCGUCUGGUCAGCGUAAGAUCAGCAAGUCACACGGACUAAAAAGACGGCAUAGUUUAGUUACGCAAAGGAAAGGGACGAGGAAUUCGAAGAAUGUCUGUACACGUCAUCGCCCCCCUUGAACCUGACAAUGAAUAUUGGAGGAUGGUUACACCGUAAUUGAUGACUUCCUGACUCCAGGAGAGGUGACAGAAUUGCU